GGGCUUGUCCGCAAGCAGCAUGUGAAUUGGGUUGACCGUCUUGAUCCUCUUGACCCGCAGAUGGAGAAACAAUGUCGAUUGUAGAUUGUCUUAGAGACACAUUGAAGGAUGAGAAGUCCCUCUAUGUUCAAAAUUCUGCUGUGCCACACAACUCUGUUAGUUGAGUAAGUAACUAUGAGCAGGGAGUGAUCAGCUUCACUAUCAACAGUAAUAUUAUUGCUCAAGGGGGAAAGUAGUUUGGCAUUUCAUACUCAGCCUUUCUUUUUAUUUAUUUUACUUUUGUAUUCAUGCAUUCUAUUUGUUUUUUUAGGCAAAUGUUAGUUGUUAAUAAUGUUGGUAAAUUAGUCCCUUCUGAGGAUUUGAACUCUAGACUCUCCAUCCCACCCGAACCCUUAUAGACCCUUCAUUCUAUUUGUAAAUGAAGUUGGGGAGCCUUCUAUUUUGCCCAUAUAGCAAAAAGGGGUGCUGGUUUCUCAGCUGUACAUUGCAUUACAACUGUUGUGCUACCCUUUCUAGAUACUAAUAGCAAAUAACUCUAAUCAGUAAUCACGAUCGCCUUCAUUUUGUUUUGUCAACAGGUGCUGUGGCAAUUACAGUGCCAAAUCCAACUGAUCUUGUCAAAGUGAGGCUUCAAGCAGAAGGAUAAUUGCCUCCAGGUGUUCCUAGGUGCUACUCUGGAUAAAUGCUUAUUCAAAAAUCGUGAGACAGGAAGGAUUUGGGACUCUAAUGAAAGGAACAUAGGAGUUUGCAGCUAGGUAUUUGACCAAAUAGGAUCGUCCAGUUCCUAUAGAACCUAUCACUAAAAGACCCCUAGGGGGGUAUAGGGCUAAGCGGAGCGAAAAGGGUUUCCUCUUUGGACUGGGUCUGGCCCCAAUAUAGCACCUAAUGGUAUCAUCAAUGCUGCUGAACUAGGCCGCUAUGAUGAAGUGAAACCGACUAUUUUGGAAAUUCCAAGAUUCACUGACAAUGUUGUAACUCAUCUCCUUGCUGGUCUGGGGGCAGGGUUUUUUGCUGUCUGUAUUGGCUUCCCAAUUGAUCUGGGUCACUUCGCCUUUUAUAAAGGGUUCUUCCUGAAUUUUGGACGGCUAGGAUCUUGGAAUGCGAUCAUGUUUCAAACCCUAGAACAGGUGCCGAGGAUAGUGGAGCUUCUCGCAAGGGUUAGUCGGAGGAGCUAGUCUUUUAUUUACGGUUUGGUUAGGGGAGUCAUGCUCUGUUAUGUAACACGAGGGAAACGUUUAGUAUUGUACUUGGAUGUUAAGAGAUAUUUUGUGUACUCUCUUUAUUGUUGGAUCAUGUUAAAUUUUGGAGUUGAAAAUAAAUCCGCUGUGCUACGCAUAUGUUUUUGAGACAUCAAACUUGAAAAUUUAUAUUUAUUAUGAGCAUGACAUGUGUUUUGAUUUAUGUUUCUAGAGAAUAAGUGUGACACCCUCUGUGUUAUGCAUUUUACUCUGAUUUAAGCUAUAAUAUUUACGCGGGGUUUAGAGGGUGUUACAUUAGUGAUAUCAGAGCAUGGUCGGUCAAUAGGCUAGGUUUAUUAGCAUGUUGAAUCCCUUUUGUAUUCGAUAUGUGUUUACGACACAAUCGAUACUGUUUUGGUUAGUAGGAUAGAAGGAGUCCGACCUCGAAUUGUUCGUUUAAGGUAAUUUUCGAGGGCGAAAAUUCUUAAGUAGGGGACAGUUGUAACACCCCAUUUUUUUUUUCUGUUAUUAGGUUAUUUAGUAUUUUAUUUUAAUUAUUAUUAUGUUAUAUGGUAAUUUGAUAGUUUAUGUGAUUUAAUUAGAUGACAAGAUGAUUAUGUGAUUUAAUUAGAUGAUAAGGUGAUUAAGUGAUUUUAUUAGAUAAUUAAGUUAUUAUGUGAUAUAUGGAGUGAGUAAUUUAUUUAAUUUGUAUUUGAGUGAGAUAAGAUUAAAUUAUAUAAGGUUGUUGGGUUUGUGUGAUAUAUAGAGUGGAUCCCACUAGUAAUACUAGUUUAAGGUUAGGAGUGAAAUAAAUAGAAAAAAGAAAGAAAGAGAAAUCAGAAUUAGAAGAGCAGAACAGAGAAGGAGAAAGCGUGAAAACAGAGAAGAAGGAGACGAGAAAAGAGCAGAAAACCUAGAUUUGAUCUACAAGAGGUAAGGGUUUGAAUUCAUGUUUUAUGGAUUGGUAUGAUAGUGGAUAAUGAUAGAAAGCAUGAUUUAGGAACCCUAGGAUACAUAAAUUCCCAAAUUUAAAUAGUUAGGGUUUGAGUUUUAGAUGAAUUUUGGGGGUAGAUGAUAGGCGCGCAUGAUGCGCAGAAAUUUACGAGCUCUUGAAUCCUUUUUUGAGCUGUGAUAAUGACCGAAUCCGAAGAAGUAGUAUUCAUAACAGUUGUAGCCCUUUUUGUUAUGAAACUUUUGGCGCUGGUUUCGCGUCGUUCCGACGUCUGUAGCUCAAGUUAUAUGCAUUUUAGUGAGCAUAGGUUAAGUUGUCUAGUUUCUUACGAACUGCUGUUAGUGUACGAUUUUUCCUGAUUUUUGUACUUCGAAUUUUGACUUGAAA